rnacentral:rRNA from 1 species
ACGUAGGGGGCGAGCGUUAUUCGGAAUUACUGGGUGUAAAGGGUAUGUAGGCGGCCCUUCAAGUCGCGUGUCAAAGUCCAGUGCUCAACGCUGGGUGUGCACGCGAUACUGACUAGCUUGAGGGCUGGAGAGGUGAGCGGAAUUCCCGGUGUAGGGGUAAAAUACGUAGAGAUCGGUAGGAAUACCAGAGGCGCAGGCGGCUCACUAGACAGUUUCUGACGCUGAGAUGCGAAAGCGUGGGGAGCAAACAG